CUCUCAUCGCGUCGUCUCCUCACCUGAAGUCUCGUCUGGAAGCGGCUGUGAAGGGAAACCAGGAGAGUCUGAACGCUAAAGCUAGCAGCGCUAACCCCGCCGCCAAGUCCUCCCCCAGCAUCACGCUCAAAACCAACUUCCUGUGAGACCAUUCAGCCGAAAAAACAAACAAAGAUGGAGGUUUUUGUUAACACAAAUGCACCGUGCUGCGUUCACUGUCCCCUCCGGACAAGCAGCACUCUUGUUGCCUGAGAAUCUGAAGGCUAAGAAGAUCUGGUUUUAAGGAAUGAGACCAUUUUAAAACUGACUGAAGGAGGAACUUGAACACGUUAUCUUCAGUGUGUGGCGUCAGGGGAACACACAGAGUGGAAACUGAAUGAAACUGAUUUAGAGCUGACGGAAAGGAUGUCAAAUAUUUGGGAAAAACGCAAAAUUCUGAGAUAAAAGUUGGAUAAUUUUAAGAAAAAACAGAUUUAUGAGUUUAAAUAAUUCAGACUUUAUGAACUUCAUAUUGACAAUAAGCUGCCUUCACGUCUGAUUUAAUCGUCCACAUGUUUCUUUGAAUGUUUUUGCAAUUUUAAGAUAUCCAAAAACCCUCUUUGGUUUUUGAGUCUAAAUAAAUAGAAACACUCUUUUGAAACUGAUUGUCCAAAAUUGGUUUUGAAAAAAACACUAAUUUCAUUAAUAGAUAGUCCUAUAAGUUACACAAUAUGAUCAUAUGUUGUUAAUAUUAAUAAUGAUAUUCUCUAUUAUGUUUUGUAAAGAACAAAAAUAAAUGUUUGGGUGUUAAAAAAAACCUAAAAUAAACAAAUAUAGUUCAGAAAAAACUGGAAAAAUCAAUGAAAUGUGAAAGUACUCACAAAAUAGACAAAGUAGUGCAACAGCAUAAUGUUUACCUAAACAGGUCUUUGUUCAAUUGUAAACAAAUUCAGUUUGCACAUCCGAUAUCUGCUUCAGUGUUGUCAUACAGAUUCAUUUUUUAUAUAUUUUAUUCAACAUGUAACAUGACUUUACAUUAUAUACCAUGGUGUCAUACAGACCACCAGAUGGCAGCAGGACAUUAUAAGAUUUCUCAAAAACAUCAAAUUCUCAGAGUUUUGACUUUUCUCAAAAACAUAAUCUACCAUAAAGGAUGCAUGUUAAGUAGAGGCAGUGAGUUGGACCAAUCACAGGAGAGCAUCUUAAAGAAACUCGAUGCCUUUGCCGAUAAAUAAAGAAGGGAAAAUGAAACUAACACUGUGCUUUUUUAUAAGGUCUGUACGUAAGAGGGAGCCUUCAUUUUGAAAUGACUGUCAUCUCUCGAAGCAAUCUGAAGUUAGCGGUAGAUAAAGCUGCUUUUCUGCAUCAACAACAAAUCGAGGUCUUCCUUUCACCCUCGCAUGAAUAAAUGAAUGUCAAUAACAGAGAAGAGCUCAAAGAUAUGAAAAGGAUUUGUAUUUGUAUUAGUCAAAUGUUAAUAUGUAAGGUUUAAUGUCGACAAAUCACAUGAAAACACAAACUGAAGAUUGUUAUGAAUCAUACGGUGGCCUGUAAGGGACUGUUUAGUCGUCAGCACUUUAGAUAAAAAGACACAAUAUCAACCGCGUCGUGUUUUAUCAGUUUGAAGAAUGUAUGUUUGUUUGGUUUUAAAAUACUUGUAUUGUCUGAAUGUCAACAUUCAUAUCAGUGAAGAGAAUAAAGACAUUUCUAACAUGAUGUCCUCCAUAAUAAAACACUAAAUCAUUACCUGCAAUAAGUAAAAUAACCAGGUGAGCUUCUGUCUUCCUCUGUGCUUCACACACAUGCUCACACCAGCAGUAUUAGUGUGUUUAAAUGUGUGUGUGCUCACCUGGCCGACUGCUCUGUGAACUGUACAGCUGUGACCUGAAUGACUGAGUUAACAUGAUGUUUUCUAACGACACAAGUGAAUAAAAACAUGUUUUUUUCUUCUA